CCUACGGGGGGCUGCAGUAAGGAAUAUUGGUCAAUGGACGCAAGUCUGAACCAGCCAUGCCGCGUGGAGGAUGAAGGUCCUCUGGAUUGUAAACUUCUUUUAUUUGGGAAGAAACUCCCGAUUUCCAUCGGGAUUGACGGUACCAGAUGAAUAAGCACCGGCUAACUCCGUGCCAGCAGCCGCGGUAAUACGGAGGGUGCAAGCGUUACCCGGAUUCACUGGGUCUUAAGGGGUCGGAGGUGGGCAGGGUGAACUCUCCGUGCUUAACCCGGACACUGCCAGUUGUACUAUUUGUCUUGAAUACUCUGGAGGUGAGCGGAAUAUGUCAUGUAGCGGUGAAAUGCUUAGAUAUGACAUAGAACACCCAUUGCGAAGGCAGCUCACUACGGAAAUAUUGACGCUGAGGCACGAAAGCGUGGGGAUCAAACAGGAUUAGAUACCCCGGUAGUC
rnacentral:rRNA from 1 species